GGUAAUAUGGCUGAGAUAGGCAAUAAAUUGUAAAUUUAUUAACGAAAUUAAGAUUUCUGUUACCA
rnacentral:tRNA from 1 species